UACGUAGGCAGCGAGCGUUGUUCGGAUUCAUUGGGCGUAAAGGGUGCGUAGGUGGCGAGGUAAGUUGGAUGUGAAAUCUCGGGGCUCAACCCCGAAACUGCAUUCAAUACUGCCUUGCUAGAGUACUGGAGAGGAGAUUGGAAUUUACGGUGUAGCAGUGAAAUGCGUAGAUAUCGUAAGGAAGACCAGUGGCGAAGGCGGAUCUCUGGACAGUUACUGACACUGAGGCACGAAGGCCAGGGGAGCAAACGGG
rnacentral:rRNA from 1 species